CAGGAACAGAGUACCGGACUUUGCACGACUGGAGGAGGAAAUCCUUUUUUCUCGCAUGAAACGGGAGCCCCGAGAGCAGAUAUCUGUGUUUGACGGGCGGCGGGGGCGAGCCGGGGCUCGGCGGUGGCGGCUCCCCCGCCCCCCCCCACCCCCCGGCCCCCGGCCCCGGGGAAUGGCAGCCCUGUAAACCGUGAAGCAGCCAGGCAGAGGAGGGAAAGCAGUCACGCAGGCACGGACUCGGGCUGAGAGGUGUGAUACGGCGAGACUAGCGAUCGGGGAGAGAGCAGGAAGAAAAUGUGAGACAGAUGGAGCCGGGAGAGCAGACAGACGGACAGAGAGACAGGACGGUCACAUGGAGGAAGAGGGAUCUCUCUCUCUUCCCAUUUUGUCUGGCCACAUCCAGCCUCCCUGUGCUCGGCUGAGCGGCGCAGACACACAGAGGACUGCGGCAGCCUCCCCCACCGCCACCGACCGGGCCGGAGCUUCGGGAGCUGCGUGCUGGCCUGCGGUCCCGGCCAUACACCAACCCACGCUUAGCCGAGCUACUGACCGCCCUGGGACCCCCCCUUCCGGAAAUGACGACACCACGAAAGCCAGAAUAUCAACACAGUAGGAGAAGAAGAUGACGAACAACAAAGAACGGCAACGCAGAAGUGCGAGUGGCGCCACCUAGCGUCACGGAGUCUAACACACAUCCCUC